GAUGAACGCUGGCGGCGUGCCUAAUACAUGCAAGUCGAGCGAACAGACGAGGAGCUUGCUCCUCUGACGUUAGCGGCGGACGGGUGAGUAACACGUGGAUAACCUACCUAUAAGACUGGGAUAACUUCGGGAAACCGGAGCUAAUACCGGAUAAUAUAUUGAACCGCAUGGUUCAAUAGUGAAAGACGGUUUUGCUGUCACUUAUAGAUGGAUCCGCGCCGCAUUAGCUAGUUGGUAAGGUAACGGCUUACCAAGGCAACGAUGCGUAGCCUACCUGAGAGGGGAUUCGCCCACACUGAAACUGAGACACGGCCCAAAUCCCUAGGGGAGGCGGCGGAAGGAAACCUCCGGCAAUGGCCGAAGGCCUACGGAGGAAAGGCCGGGGAGGUAAUAAGGGUCUUCGAUCCGUAAACCUCUGUAAUAGGGAAGAACCAAUUGGGAAAGUAACUAUCCACGUUUGAAGGGAACCUAAUCGAAAGGCAACGGCUAACUCCGG
rnacentral:rRNA from 1 species